AUUAUAUAAUAUAUAGAGUUUUAAAAAAUCUUAAUUCUUUCCGUCAUAUUUUGUGACUCGAAAUUUUAAAAAUAAACAUAUAUUAAUCAAUUGGCAAAAAAUGUGUGAGUUAUACGUCCCACAUGAACUAAAAUAUUUAGACAAUGAUUCAUAAAUAUAUCAUAAAUAAGAUUAACAUUAAUAAAAUAAUGAUUUUUUUACAGGAUGGGUUUGGCGGGACGCGAUUUAGCAGGACGUUACUUAAUAACAAAUAUAAAGUAUAAAAUAAAAAUAUUUUAUAGCAAAAUUUUAUAUAUACUAAUUUUAAAAUAUAAAUUGUCUCCACGGUGUACCACGGGUUAAAAUCUAGUUAUUUAGUAAUUAUGCAUCUCGUAUAAACCAGCUACAAAAAUAUCAGUGGAAGGAUCUUUAUCAGCAAGC
rnacentral:sRNA from 1 species